GGCUUGGUCAACAGCUCUCUGAUAGAGAUCAUUUAUAUGUGAUUUGUUAAAAAGUUUAGAGAAAAAUGAUGGUUGAUUUUCUUCCAUCAGAUUGACACCAGAGUUGAUGAAGGUCAGAUGAACAUAAAGAGCAGCCAGAAACUCCUGAACACUCAGAUGGACGAAGCAGAACACCUUGUCCUGAUGGUCAGCCAGCUUUUCCUGCUUCAUCCUCCUCAGGAAGUUCAGUGUGAUCUUCAUCAGUGCCUCUCUGCU